AGGGCGUGACGCCAUCUACAAGGAGUAUCUGUUCAAGAACUUCAACGAAGCGUUCGGCUUC
rnacentral:pre_miRNA from 1 species